rnacentral:snRNA from 1 species
UUGCUUCAGCAGCACAUAUACUAAAAUUGGAAUGAUACAGAGAAGAUUAGCAUGGCCCCUGUGCAAGGAUAACACACAAAUUCAUGAAGCUUCCAUAUUUAA